rnacentral:rRNA from 1 species
UACAGAGGGUGCGAGCGUUGUCCGGAAUCACUGGGCGUAAAGGGCGCGUAGGUGGCGGGAUAAGCGUGUGGUGAAAGCCCGGGGCUCAACCCCGGAAUUGCCUCCAAGACUGUGGCGCUGGAGUCCGGAAGAGGAGAGCGGAAUUCCCAGUGUAGAGGUGAAAUUCGUAGAUAUUGGGAAGAACACCAGUGGCGAAGGCGGCUCUCUGGUCCGGUACUGACGCUGAGGUGCGAAAGCGUGGGGAGCAAACAGG